ensembl:lncRNA
AUAGCACAGUUUGAAUUUCCAGCACAGCUCCACAUCAUUAUUAAACAUUUGCUUGAACUUAUAUAGUCUAAAGUAUGUCCUGAGUUCUUCAAAAUUCUCUUGGCAUCAGCGAGGUAUUUGUGACUAAAGAAAUAAUCUGCUUGAAACCUGGAUUUUUACUGUGUACAGUUGGGUGAUGCGUCAUCCUUUUGUACUCUUGUGACAUCCUUUUUCUUUUUUUCUGCGACCACCCCCCGCCCUGCACAACAGAGGAGGGGAUUCCUUCUCUCCUUGGUCUACUCUUUGUGCUGUUGGAAUGCUAAAGAUCCAAUGUUAAACCUCCCUGGGCAGUAUUUAGCAGAGUAUUUUAGAGGCUCAGGAGGAUAAGUGGCAUUUCAGGUCUGUUUGAAUGUAGAUCUCGUUUUAUGUUCAAACUUCUUCAGUUCCAUUUUCUCUGAUUGUCCUUUUCCCAAUUACUAAGCAAUAUUAAAGUUUGUUUAAAAAGUAAUCGUAUAGUAGUAAUCAAGUGUAAAGAGCUUUUUUUCUUCUUUUUUUUUUUGUAAACCACUACCCACUCUGUGACUUUCUACCUCACUGAUUGGCAUUUGCAUUCCUGUGCUCCAUUUAAGGGUGAAUCUAAUCACAUCCUGGGCUGUGAGUCAUCGUGUGGAUGAGUUGUGAAAUAAUCCCUCCUGAAUGAAAAU